rnacentral:misc_RNA from 1 species
AACGGUUUCGGUUUUGACCGGUUUCGGUCCGGGUUUGACCGGUCCGGUUUCGGUUCGGUUCCGGUUCCAAACCGGACCGUGGCCACCACUACAUGGAAAGUCAUUUCUAUUCGAGGAAACAAAGGAAAAUCUUUUGUUAGGUGCUAAUCAGACAAUUUCAAAAUGAAUGUAAAGUUUGCACCCAGCAAAAAAAAUUAUUCGUAAAGA